GGGGCCUUAGCUCAGCUGGCAGAGCACCUGCUUUGCAAGCAGGGGGUCGGCGGUUCGAACCCGCCAGGCUCCACCA
rnacentral:tRNA from 1 species